rnacentral:rRNA from 1 species
UACAGAGGUGGCAAGCGUUGUUCGGAAUUACUGGGCGUAAAGGGCGCGUAGGCGGUCCUGUAAGUCCCGUGUGAAAUCCCCCGGCUCAACUGGGGAACUGCCUUUGAAACUGCAUGGCUUGAGGCCGGGAGGGGGUAGCGGAAUUCCCAGUGUAGCGGUGAAAUGCGUAGAUAUUGGGAGGAACACCAGUGGCGAAGGCGGCUACCUGGACCGGUUCUGACGCUGAUGCGCGAAAGCGUGGGUAGCAAACAGG